rnacentral:piRNA from 1 species
UGACCUCCAAAGUUGGAAGAACUGCA